UACUCUUAGCGCUGGAUCACUUGGCUCGUGGAUCGAUGAAGAACGCAGCUAGCUGUGAUAAAUUUUUUUUUUGCGAAUUGCAGACACACGGAGCACCAGAAAUUUCGAACGCAUAAACUAGCUAGUGGUAAUGCUUCAAACCAGGAAUAUAUAGCAGUGACG
rnacentral:rRNA from 1 species